rnacentral:rRNA from 1 species
AUACGUAGGUGGCAAGCGUUAUCCGGAAUCAUUGGGCGUAAAGGGUGCGUAGGCGGCUUCUUAAGUUUGUAGUGAAAUCGUAGGGCUCAACUCUAUCUAGCUACAAAAACUGGGAGGCUGGAGUGCGGUAGAGGCUAGUGGAAUUCCUCGUGUAGCGGUAAAAUGCGUAGAUAUUGGGAAGAACACCGGUGGCGAAGGCGCCUUUCUGGACUGUGUCUGACGCUCAGAUGCGAAAGCCAGGGUAGCGAACGGGAUUAGAUACCCUGGUAGUCCACACUGUAAACGAUGAAUGCUAGGUGUAGGGGGUAUCGACCCCUUCUGUGCCGCAGUCAACACAAUAAGCAUUCCGCCUGGGGAGUACGGCCGCAAGGUUGAAACUCAAAUGAAUUGGCGGGG